rnacentral:rRNA from 1 species
GACGAACCGUCCUAACGUUGUUCGGAAUCACUGGGCUUAAAGGGCGCGUAGGCGGCUUGCCAAGUCAGGGGUGAAAUCCUGCAGCUUAACUGUAGAAGAGCCUUUGAUACUGGCGAGCUCGAGGGAGGUAGGGGUGCGUGGAACUUCUGGUGGAGCGGUGAAAUGCGUUGAUAUCAGAAGGAACGCCGGUGGCGAAAGCGACGCACUGGAUCUUUUCUGACGCUGAGGCGCGAAAGCUAGGGGAGCAAACGGG